CGCUAGCCAAGGGUGUUCAAUACGAUACUCUCCUAUUCACCCUUGGCGGAUCUCACGACAAAACCGAAGUUCCCGCUGCUACAUUUUGAUUGGAUGCGGUUAGAUUUAACCGACCAAUUAAAACGCGCGUUGUAAAUGUACACAACAAAGAUGGCGGCGCCCACGGAGACAUGUCGUGUGUGUCACAAUCAGCUGCCAGCGAAGUCGAGAAGAAUUAUAUUUGGCCCUACAUUUAAUGUUUUCGACCAGCUUAGUCAAGUGAUAGGGUAUGUUGCUCUCCAAACCGAUGGUAAAAGUAAAUAUGUAUGUGGAUUCUGUUUUACAAAAUUAAACAAAUUGUCAAAAAUCGACUUCGAUCUCGUAACAAAAUUGGAAACGCUGAAGAAUGAAAAACAGAAACUUGUUUCAGAACUCAGAGACAAAUAUCUGACAAAUAUGCCACAAACACAAACACCUAAAAGUUUAAAGCGAACUAAGCCUCUGCAGCACACUCCAACACCAAGGAAAUCAAAAAAGGCUCUGUGGACUACACCUUCACGUUCUACGCAUGCUGUACAAACAGCGCCUGCUUCGACACCUAAAACGUCAAAGCCAGCUAUAACCGGUGUGAAAGUUAAACUGUUUACACCAUCAAAGAUCAAGGUGUUGUACAGAAUCAAGGACAAGGUCAGGUCAAAAGUAUUGAGGGAAAAGGGUUCCAUCGCAAUGGUUAAAAGUAUCAUGUAUGGUAAACCAGGAGCAGCCAAGUGUGUGUAUUCAGCCCUCCAACAACCAAUCAGAAAAUGUGUUUUGAGAGACAUUCAGAAAGAAAUUUCUAAAUUAACUUCAACAUUAAAUCUGUCAUUAUUUAGAAGAAUAGACCACAAGAAUCUGACAUCAUUUUCCUUUGAAAACAUCAUCACUGAAGUAAAGAUAUGGGCACCAUUUUUUCAUAACCUUAUAUCAACCCUGGUAAAGAACUCAUCAAUUGGAGAAGCAGUAGUGUCCGCUCUUAUUCUGAAAUUCCAUAAUACACACAUGACAGCCUUCCAUCAUGUGAUCGGACAGGUACUGGACCAUUGUGGUGCCACUGAUGAGUGUAUUGCAGUGCUGAACAGACUAGGUGUGUGUGUAUCCACAUCAGCAAUGUCAAAAAUGAAGUCAAAGCUACAGGAUCACCAAAGUAAACAAAUUGAAGACUUGUUAAUCAAGGAGAAAAUUGAGUUAGAGUGCAAUGAACCUGCUCAUCAUGCUGUAGAGAAGCAGACUGACACAAGGGAGACACAAGAGGCACAGCUUGCAGUUGAGAAGGCAUCUGUUGAUCUACCAGAUCUUUUACAACAAGUCAUCAGCAACUGAUCAAGGAACUCUAGCAAACCUGAGGAAUGUCAUCAACCGUAUUGAUGUCCAAGGUGCAGAAAGUGUCAUUGACAAGUACAGGGCUCACUUUUCAUUUAUGGAUGAUGUCCUUGACUCUUACAUUGUGGCAGCCUGUAUGCAUCUUUUGGGUCAAAGUGAGAUGGAAGCCGAACCCAACAGGAAACAACCAUUGUUUGCUAUUGUGGAUGACCAUACCCGAUACAAAUUUUUGUAUCAGAUAUCAAAAGAUAUUUUGUACAAGUACAUCAAAGUAGAAAACAACCUGGAAAUGGUUAAUGCACAGUAUUCAGAGCUGAACGUCCAAAAUGAUGCACUAAAAGACAUGUUCGAUCAUGUAGGAAACAGGUACGAGUGCGUGGAAUGCAACAAAAUUUUCAAGAAAGUUGGGUUCUUGAAAAGACAUCUUAGCAGGGAACAUGAAUGGACAUUUGGAGUGGACAGACAGGAUGGUCAUUCACCUGAUCACAUCGCCCUGUACAGAGCUUCCUUUAUGAAGUGUGCAUUGCUGUUGCGGGACAUUGAGGAUGCCUAUAAAAUGGGGGAUGGUGACAGAAUUACAGAAACAGCCAAAUUCCAACUACUGCUAUCUAAUGUUGGGAGGCAUACAAAAUAUCAACUCUGGCUGUUCAAGUUUUUGGCCUAUAUCUAUGGAAUUCUUUCACCAAGAAUGUCGUUUGAAUAUAAAUGGAACUGUACAUCCAACUUACAUGGUGGCAUAGGACAUAACAUACCAAAUGACAACCUUGUUGAACUGCAAGUGCAAGCAAUCAAGAAAAAAGUGCAAGCACAGGGUUCCAAUGCAACCUAUGAAAGUGCAAGAAAAGCUGCACUCACUGUCCAAGUACAAGAUGCUAUAAAGCAAAAUAUAGCAAAUCAAGGCCAUGCAAAAAAGUCUGGAACAAAAAGACCUGUAGUUUCAAAAGCUGGCGAUGUUAGUCUUAUAGUUGAAAAAUUAAUUAAGGCAGGUAUUAUGGAGAACAUUCCUGGACGUGAAUUCCACUCAUUCCGUGGCUUUAAGGACAUUUAUUCAAGGGUAAAGGUCCAAGACUUUCAUACUUGGGUAACACGUGCCAAAGAACGCCUUUCAGUUGAAGGAUUGCAUUAGAUGCAUGAUGGCAUCACUAUUCCAUUUUAGGAAUGUCAUAGUAUUAGCAAAGUAUAAGACUUUUGACACUUUGUAUUUCAAAGUACAUCCAUGUACUGUUUGAUCUCUCCUGUGGUCUCUAUGAUGAAAUGUUACACCUGUCAUCAUGAAAAUGUUUAUUCAUCUCUGUUAAAGAAAUUUUCCAUAAAAUACAAAACGAAAAGUUGACAUCUAUACUUCAUGUAAUAUAUUUAAUGCAGACAAAUAUAUACUGGCCAUAUAUAAGAUAAUCCAAAUUACAGGUAAUACUUUGUACUCAGUCUCAUAUAGUUUGUACAUAUAAUCUUGAGUCAUGUUGCAUGAUUGUCUAUUUCUGGUCCAAUUACAUGAAAUUGUAAUUAAAAGUAAAAUUAUAUUAAAACAACAGGUAGAAUUAUAAAGUAGUGAAUCAUUCACUUACAUUCAUACUUUGUCAAGAUUAAUACUUUUUUUUUUGUAAGAAUUUCCAACUUUCUACCAUUGUCUAAACUUGUAUCCAUACAUUUCCAAUGCAACAACACAUAAAUUCUGUUGUCGAUUUAACCGAUAAUAAAAUGUAGUGUUGGGAGCAAG